CAGAUUGAACGCUGGCGGCAGGCCUAACACAUGCAAGUCGAGCGCUUCCCUUCGGGGAGGAGCGGCGGACGGGUUAGUAACGCGUGGGAAUAUACCCAGUUCUAAGGAAUAGCCAUUGGAAACGAUGAGUAAUACCUUAUACGCCCUUCGGGGGAAAGAUUUAUCGGAGAAGGAUUAGCCCGCGUUAGAUUAGGUAGUUGGUGGGGUAAUGGCCUACCAAGCCUACGAUCUAUAGCUGGUUUUAGAGGAUGAUCAGCCACACUGGGACUGAGACACGGCCCAGACUCCUACGGGAGGCAGCAGUGGGGAAUAUUGGACAAUGGGGGCAACCCUGAUCCAGCCAUGCCGCGUGUGUGAAGAAGGCCUUCGGGUUGUAAAGCACUUUCAGUGAGGAGGAAAAGUUGGUCGUUAAUACCGGCCAGCCUUGACGUUACUCACAGAAGAAGCACCGGCUAACUCCGUGCCAGCAGCCGCGGUAAUACGGAGGGGGUUAGCGUUGUUCGGAAUUACUGGGCGUAAAGCGUACGUAGGCGGAUUAGUAAGUUAGAGGUGAAAUCCCAGGGCUCAACCUUGGAACUGCCUUUAAUACUGCUAGUCUUGAGUUCGAGAGAGGUGAGUGGAAUUCCAAGUGUAGAGGUGAAAUUCGUAGAUAUUUGGAGGAACACCAGUGGCGAAGGCGGCUCACUGGCUCGAUACUGACGCUGAGGUACGAAAGUGUGGGGAGCAAACAGG
rnacentral:rRNA from 1 species